rnacentral:rRNA from 1 species
UACGAAGGGGGCUAGCGUUGCUCGGAAUCACUGGGCGUAAAGCGCACGUAGGCGGGUCUUUAAGUCAGGGGUGAAAUCCCGGAGCUCAACUCCGGAACUGCCUUUGAUACUGGAGAUCUUGAGUCCGGGAGAGGUGAGUGGAACUCCGAGUGUAGAGGUGAAAUUCGUAGAUAUCGAGAGGAACACCGGUGGCGAAGGCGGCCUUCUGGACAGUGACUGACGCUGAGACGCGAAAGCGUGGGGAGCAAACAGG